rnacentral:rRNA from 1 species
UAGAGAGAGUUCAAGAGUACGUGAAACUGCUUAGAGGUUAAGCCCGAUGAACCUGAAUAUCCAUUAUGGAAAAUUCAACAUUAAUAUUAUAAUAUUUAUUUAUAAAUAUUAUAAAAAUAGUGUGCAAUUUUUCCAUAUAAGGACAUUGUAAUCUGUUAAUGUAAUAAAUAUUUAUCAUAAGAUUCAAUAUAUAAAAGUUUAUUUAAAUUAGUUAUUUUUUUUAAAUUUCUAACAUAGAAUAAAUUUAAUUGAAUUUGAUAAAUCAUUGACAGAUUUAUUUCUAUAUAAUGCAUAAAUUUUUAAUUAAAUUUUACAAUAAUAUUUAAAUGUAUUUUCAUUUAUUUAUUUAUUGUAUGCAUUUAUAUGAUUAACAAUGCUAUAGAUUCAGGAUACCUUCGGGACCCGUCUUGAAACACG